UGGGGAAUAUUGCACAAUGGGCGCAAGCCUGAUGCAGCGACGCCGCGUGGGGGAUGACGGCCUUCGGGUUGUAACUACCUUUCGCUAGGGACGAAGCUUUUGUUGACGGUACCUAGAUAAGAAGCACCGGCUAACUACGUGCCAGCAGCCGCGGUAAUACGUAGGGUGCGAGCGUUGUCCGGAAUUACUGGGCGUAAAGAGCUCGUAGGUGGUUUGUCGCGUCGUCUGUGAAAUACCAAUGCUUAACGUUGGUCGUGCAGGCGAUACGGGCAUUACUUGAGUGCUGUAGGGGUAACUGGAAUUCCUGGUGUAGCGGUGAAAUGCGCAGAUAUCAGGAGGAACACCGAUGGCGAAGGCAGGUUACUGGGCAGUUACUGACGCUGAGGAGCGAAAGCAUGGGUAGCGAACAGGAUUAGAUACCCUGGUA
rnacentral:rRNA from 1 species